UAACCGGCUUUGAAAUGACAA
rnacentral:piRNA from 1 species